rnacentral:rRNA from 1 species
CGCAGAUAUCAGGAGGAGCACCAGUGGCGAAGGCGGUUGUCUGGGCCUUUCCUGACGCUGAGGAGCGAAAGCGUGGGGAGCGAACAGGCUUAGAUACCCUGGUAGUCCACGCUGUAAACGGUGGGUACUAGGUGUGGGGUCCAUUCCACGGGUUCCGUGCCGUAGCUAACGCUUUAAGUACCCCGCCUGGGGAGUACGGCCGCAAGGCUAAAACUCAAAGGAAUUGACGGGGCCCCGCACAAGCGGCGGAGCAUGCGGAUUAAUUCGAUGCAACGCGUAGAACCUUACCUGGGUUUGACAUGGAUCGGGAGUGCUCAGAGAUGGGUGUGCCUCUUUUGGGGUCGGUUCACAGGUGGUGCAUGGCUGUCGUCAGCUCGUGUCGUGAGAUGUUGGGUUAAGUCCCGCAACGAGCGCAACCCUUGUUCACUGUUGCCAGCACGUUAUGGUGGGGACUCAGUGGAGACCGCCGGGGUCAACUCGGAGGAAGGUGGGGAUGACGUCAAGUCAUCAUGCCCCUUAUGUCCAGGGCUUCACGCAUGCUACAAUGGCUGGUACAGAGAGUGGCGAGCCUGUGAGGGUGAGCGAAUCUCGGAAAGCCGGUCUCAGUUCGGAUUGGGGUUUGCAACUCGACCUCAUGAAGUCGGAGUCGCUAGUAAUCGCAGAUCAGCAUCGCUGCGGUGAAUACGUUCCCGGGGCUUGUACACACCGCCCGUCAAGUCAUGAAAGUUGGUAACACCCGAAGCCGGUGGCCUAACCGUUGUGGGGGAGCCGUCGAAGGUGGGACUG